GUCGUCGACAUCCUGAAGAAGCGUGGCCGAGUAAAAGGCUACGAAGAGCGAGAACUUCCUCUUCCUCAGAAACUUCUAUCAUCUGAGGGGAUGUCCUCGGUUCUGUGCUCCGGCUUUUCCAGCAGCUUUGUGGUCAGCUCCACUAAAACUCUCCCCCGGGAAACCGUGAAGGAAGCAGCCAAGUUUGGAGAAUUGAGGACAUCUCUGAGGUUUAGCCGACACUCUCCCAAAAACCUGCACCAACAAGAGAAGCAAAUGUCUCAGUGGAUUUACUUUACGAAGUUUUUCUCUUCCCC